CGAGCGGAUCUUCAUUAGCUUGCUUUUGAAGAUCAGCGGCGGACGGGUGAGUAACACGUGGGCAACCUGCCUGUAAGACUGGGAUAACUUCGGGAAACCGGAGCUAAUACCGGAUAAUCCUUUCCCUCACAUGAGGGAAAGCUGAAAGACGGUUUCGGCUGUCACUUACAGAUGGGCCCGCGGCGCAUUAGCUAGUUGGUGAGGUAACGGCUCACCAAGGCAACGAUGCGUAGCCGACCUGAGAGGGUGAUCGGCCACACUGGGACUGAGACACGGCCCAGACUCCUACGGGAGGCAGCAGUAGGGAAUCUUCCGCAAUGGACGAAAGUCUGACGGAGCAACGCCGCGUGAACGAUGAAGGCUUUCGGGUCGUAAAGUUCUGUUGUUAGGGAAGAACAAGUACCGGAGUAACUGCCGGUACCUUGACGGUACCUAACCAGAAAGCCACGGCUAACUACGUGCCAGCAGCCGCGGUAAUACGUAGGUGGCAAGCGUUGUCCGGAAUUAUUGGGCGUAAAGCGCGCGCAGGCGGUUCCUUAAGUCUGAUGUG
rnacentral:rRNA from 1 species